rnacentral:lncRNA from 1 species
AGCUCUUUCAUCUCCAUCCACACGUGUGCAUUAGAAAAGGUGCAAUUAGACCGCGCCAAAGCCCACGGUGGAUAACACACCACGCUGCCCCUCGUAUUUCACCAAUUCCCGAUCACACACUAUCCAACAUGCAUAUGCUUCGAGAUUUAUGCUGCUUCACUUUGAUUUUGUGCAUGCAAUAAUUUCUCGUAUUAGCGAGUGAACGGUUCACUCAAAUGGCACAGAAUAAGUUUAGUGGCUCGUUUCUC